rnacentral:rRNA from 1 species
GACGAACGCUGGCGGCGUGCCUAACACAUGCAAGUCGAACGAGGUCCAUCCUUCGGGAGAAGACCUAGUGGCGAACGGGUGAGUAACACGUGAAGAACCUGCCCCGAAGACCGGGAUAACCCUCCGAAAGGAGAGCUAAUACCGGAUACCCCCACGAACCGCAUGGUUUGGUGAGGAAAUGGAUUCCGCUUCGGGAGGGCUUCGCGGCCUAUCAGCUAGUUGGUGGGGUAACGGCCCACCAAGGCAUCGACGGGUAGCUGGUCUGAGAGGACGAUCAGCCACACUGGGACUGAGACACGGCCCAGACUCCUACGGGAGGCAGCAGUGGGGAAUCUUGCGCAAUGGGCGAAAGCCUGACGCAGCAACGCCGCGUGGGGGAUGAAGGCUCUCGGGUUGUAAACCCCUUUCAGCAGGGACGAAUCAAGACGGUACCUGCAGAAGAAGCCCCGGCUAACUACGUGCCAGCAGCCGCGGUAAU